rnacentral:rRNA from 1 species
UACGUAGGGCGCAAGCGUUGUCCGGAAUUAUUGGGCGUAAAGAGCUCGUAGGCGGUUUGUCGCGUCUGCUGUGAAAACUGGAGGCUCAACCUCCAGCCUGCAGUGGGUACGGGCAGACUAGAGUGCGGUAGGGGAGAUUGGAAUUCCUGGUGUAGCGGUGGAAUGCGCAGAUAUCAGGAGGAACACCGAUGGCGAAGGCAGAUCUCUGGGCCGUAACUGACGCUGAGGAGCGAAAGCAUGGGGGAGCGAACAGG